rnacentral:rRNA from 1 species
GAUGAACGCUGGCGGCGUGCCUAAUACAUGCAAGUCGAGCGACAGGACGAGAAGCUUGCUUCUUUGCUGUUAGCGGCGGAGGGGUGAGUAACACGUGGAUAACCUACUUAUAAGACUGGGAUAACUUCGGGAAACAGGUGCUACUACCGGCUGAUAUUUUCUACCGCAUGGUUCAAAAGUGCAUGACGCUUUUGCCGUCAGUUAUAGCUGGUUCCGGGCUGCAUUAGGUAGUUGGUAAGGUAACGGCUUACCAAAGCAACACCCCCUAGCCGACCUGAGAGGGUGAUCGUGCACACUGGAACUGAGACACAGUCCAGACUCCUACGGGAUGCAUCAGUGUCGCAUCUUCCCCAAUGGUCAAAAGCCUUACGCACCAACGCCCCGUGAGUGAUGAAGGUCUUCUGAUCGUAAAGCUCUGUUAUUGGGGAAUAACCGAUCUGUAAGUAACUGUCCACAUCUUAACGGUACCUAAUCAGAAAGCCACGGCUAACUACGUG